GAGAAAGCGAGUAAGAAAGAAAGAAAGAAAGAAAAAAAGAAAGAAAGAAAGAAAGAAAAAAAGAUAACUAAGAAAUAUCGGCUAAGUUUUAUCGGCUAAGAAAGUGACUAUGAAAGAUAUAGAAAGCUGAGUAUGCGCAAGAAGUAGGGAAAUCCGGUAAAGUUCAUUGAGUAUGACGAUGGUAAUAAGGGUGAAGGUUGAUUUUAAAAAGCAGAGAGAGAGAGAGAGAGAGAGAGAGAGAGAUGUAUAGCUGUAUAUAAAGGAAGAGUGGUGGUUGCAUGCUGCUGAACGAGCCGCCUAGUCUGCAACCCUCACUACUUGGCAGCUCGUUUUUCACACCGCCCGCACGCACCGGAAGGUGGUGGCCCACUGUUUUCGAGGACCGUUUAUUGAUCGCAUCAGCGCCUGCGUUUCUUCGUUGCUCCACUACCUUCGAAAAUUUCACCUCCUCCCGCACGUUUUCGUAUAGCCACCGAGGCUGCUUGUCGAACCAGAUUCACUUCCGGUUUUCCUUUCGGGGUUGUUGGUCCUCCAAGAUGAUGUUUAAUACCGACCGAUACUCUACGGUUACCGACCUUACUUCUUCACUCUUUUGGCGAACGGAAGUGGAGAAUGUAUCAAGGACGAUUGAUAAGAUAGAUUCCUAUGAUAGGAAGGGAAUUGGUAAAGUAAUUAAAACUUAUUUUAAUUCUUUAUAUGAUACAAGUUCUUCUUUUUUAUAUUAAAAAAAUAUAAAUUAUAUAUACUUGUUAUAGUAUAGUAUAUAUUGUACAAUAUAGUUAUAGUUUAGUUUUAGUUUAUUAUGGUAUAAAUAACUAAAGUAUACACUAAAGUAUACACUAGUAAAGUGUAAACUAAAGUAUACACUAUAUUAGGUAUAACUUACGUUUAAUAUAAUAAUGAUAUUAAUGAUAAUAUAAAUUAUUCAUUUAUACUUAGUACAAAUAGUAUAGCAUAUAUAGUACGUGUGGUACAAUAAUCCAAGUUAUAAUUAGUAUACCGACAUAUACUAUCUCUGCUGUAGAUUAAGUAUAUAAUGUAUAAUUUGUAUGUAGAAAAAAGAAACAUUUAUCAAACACUAACAUGUUAAGCAACAAUUGAUUUUGUUGCCAAAGAAAAAAUGUAAUAAAACCUAAAAAAAAAUAUAGACAUAUAUGAACGUGUGAUUUCAAAGUUACAAGGAUUUAUUAAAGGAUUAAUGAUAAUAUUAAAAGAAUCUCACCUUAAUUAGGUUCGAUAUUUGGAAAGAAAGGACUUUGGUUUUCUUUGGAAUGGUCUUGGAAUGGUCAUGUAAUAUAACAUUUCUUAUCCUUGAGAAGAACCUUAAGAGCCUAAAGAAUAAAAUGGCAAAACAAAAAAAAAAAAAGAAAGAAAAAAAAAAAGAAAAAAAGAAAAUAUAUAUACAAAGAAUUAGAAAAGAUUAUUGAGAAAUCGCAUUGUAAACUUUAUUAAUAGUACAAAAUGGAAAAAAUUUAUAUCGAUGCGAAUCGAAAGGACACGGUGUAUUUUGAAUAACACAAUCAAUAUCGCAUAUAAGAAACAUACCUCGUAUUAUAUAUACAUAUACAU